rnacentral:rRNA from 1 species
CCUACGGGAGGCAGCAGUGAGGAAUAUUGGUCAAUGGACGGGAGACUGAACCAGCCAAGCAGCGUGAAGGAUGACUGCCCUAUGGGUUGUAAACUUCUAUUAUAAAGGAAUAAAAAGAGGCCCGUGUCCCUGUUUGCAUGUACUUUAUGAAUAAGGAUCGGCUAACUCCGUGCCAGCAGCCGCGGUAAUACGGAGGAUCCGAGCGUUAUCCGGAUUUAUUGGGUGUAAAGGGAGCGUAGAUGGGUUGUUAAGUCAGUUGUUAAAGUUUGCGGCUAAACCGUAAAAUUGCAAUUGAUACUGGCAGUCUCGAGUACAAGUGAGGUAGGCGGAAUUCGCGGUGUAGCGGUGAAAUGCUUAGAUAUCACGAAGAACCCCGAUUGCGAAGGCAGCUUACUAAACCUUGACUGACAUUGAUGCUCGAAAGUGUGGGUAUCAAACAGGAUUAGAUACCCCAGUAGUC